rnacentral:rRNA from 1 species
GACGUAGGGCGCGAGCGUUGUCCGGAUUUAUUGGGCGUAAAGAGCUCGUAGGCGGCUCAUCGCGUCUGCCGUGAAAACCCGCAGCUCAACUGCGGGCUUGCGGUUGAUACGGGUGGGCUGGAGUUCGGUAGGGGAGACUGGAAUUCCUGGUGUAGCGGUGAAAUGCGCAGAUAUCAGGAGGAACACCGGUGGCGAAGGCGGUUCUCUGGGCAUGUCCUGACGCUGAGGAGCGAAAGUGUGGGGAGCGAACAGG